rnacentral:rRNA from 1 species
AAUAAAGGAAUGAAGCUUCGGUAGAUUUUCUUUAUGGAAAGCGGCGGACGGGUGAGUAACGCGUAGGCAACCUGCCCUGUACAGGGGGAUAGCCACCCGAAAAGGUGAUUAAUACCCCAUAACGCAAGAGAUACACAUGUAUCACUUGCCAAAGAUUUAUCGGUAUAGGAUGGGCCUGCGUCUGAUUAGCUAGUUGGUAGGGUAACGGCUUACCAAGGCAACGAUCAGUAGCCGACCUGAGAGGGUGAUCGGCCACAUUGGAACUGAGACACGGUCCAAACUCCUACGGGAGGCAGCAGUGGGGAAUAUUGCACAAUGGGCGCAAGCCUGAUGCAGCAACGCCGCGUGAAGGAUGAAGGCCUUCGGGUUGUAAACUUCUGUCCUAGGGGAAGAAACAAAUGACAUUACCCUUGGAGGAAGCCCCGGCUAACUACGUGCCAGCAGCCGCGGUAAUACGUAGGGGGCGAGCGUUAUCCGGAAUUAUUGGGCGUAAAGAGUGCGUAGGUGGCACCUUAAGCGCAGGGUUUAAGGCAAUGGCUCAACCAUUGUUCGCCUUGCGAACUGGGGUGCUUGAGUGCAGGAGGGGAAAGUGGAAUUCCUAGUGUAGCGGUGAAAUGCGUAGAUAUUAGGAGGAACACCAGUGGCGAAGGCGACUUUCUGGACUGUUACUGACACUGAGGCACGAAAGCGUGGGGAGCAAACAGGAUUAGAUACCCUGGUAGUCCACGCCGUAAACGAUGAGCACUAGGUGUCGGGGUCGCAAGACU